rnacentral:rRNA from 1 species
CGCCCGUCGCUGCCCGGAACUGAACCAUUUCGAGAAAUGUGGGGACUGACGACUUGAGGCCUUCACGGGCUUCUUGUUGACGGAAACCGCCUUAAUCGCAGUGGUUUGAACCGGGCAAAAGUCGUAACAAGGUUUCCGUAGGUGAACCUGCGGAAGGAUCAUCACUGAGUUUGCGAGCUUGUCUU